AAAUUGAGCUUCCCAAAUUACCAACGAAUUUGGAUUUUCCAUUGAAUAACCCAAUUCAAAUCCCAAAACACCAAACUCUGAAAGGGAGCUGUUGCUCACAGUGAACAUCUCUUCAUUUUGGUUCAUCAUAACAUGAUCAAGAGGACAGUACUGAGCCCCCGUCUCCUGAUCAUGAAUAACAGAAUGUCUGUGACUGAAAGUACCUCUCUCAACAUCCUGACCACUCAACCUAACAUGAUUACCUUCCACAAGCAAUGUUGCAAAAGCAAGUGCUUCUCCAACAGCCCAGUCAACACCCUCCCCUGUCUCAAUCAUCUUUCGACGGUCAUCAAAAACCCUUUUUAAUGCUCUGUGAGGCUUAAAACCAUCUGGAAACGUAGUGAUUGCUUUCCCGACAUUCGUCAAAAUCUCAGGUUUGACACCGGUGUUUCGAACACGUGAAAGCUGUGAAGGAGACUUAAAACCAGACCAAAAAGCAGAAAGCCAGUCUCUUUUUUGAGGCACAUAAUCUUUACUAGCAAUGAACUCUUCAUUGAGGAUUCUAUUGAUCUUAUUAUGUAUCUUUUCCACAUCAUCUUUUGCCACCUGACCGGAAUUUAGGAGUUUGUUUUGAUAGAUCUCCAAUGAAGAAGGAUGAUUUCUGAUGAUCUUGUACAUUUUAGGCUGGGUGAAGGAUGGUUCAUCAAUUUCAUUGUGUCCAAAUCGACGAUAACAGACAAUAUCAACCACAACAUCAGCAUGGAAUUUCUGGCGCCAUUCUGCAGCAAGUUCACACACAUGAGCAACAGCCUCAACGUCAUCACCAUUGACAUGGAAAAUUGGAAUAUCCAAAGCCUUUGCAACGUCAGUACAGUACUGAGAUGAUCUUCCAGCUGUUGGAUCAGUAGUGAACGCCACUUGAUUAUUCACCACAAUGUGAAUGGUCCCUCCGGUUGUGUAAUUGGGAAGAGCACUCAGAUGCAAUGUCUCAUAGACAACACCUUGGCCUGCAAAACUACCAUCACCAUGGAGCAAAAUGCCCAUGCUCUUGGUUCUAUCCUCGUCAUUCGUAUAAUAUUGCUUUGCUCUAGUUUUUCCAAUAACAACUGGAUUGACAGCUUCCAAGUGACUUGGAUUUGCAACCAAAGAUAGAUGAAUUCUUUUCCCACCCCGAGUAGGCCGAUCAUAAGAAGUUCCCAAGUGAUACUUGACAUCACCAGUUCCAACAUAACCAGCAUCAUCCCCAGGUUUUAUACCACCGCUAAACUCGCUGAAGAUCUGCUUUAGUGGCUUUCUAACAACAUUACCCAAAACAUUUAAUCUUCCUCUAUGUGGCAUCCCAAUGACUAUGCUCUCAACUCCAAGAUCUGCUGCCCGGUCGAACAUUUCCUUCAUGCCAGGAAUCAAGGUCUCACAACCUUCAAGGCCAAAUCUCUUGGCUGCCGCCCACUUCGUAGCCAAGAAGUUCUCAAACUGAGUGCUCCACAUCAGUCGGUCAAGAAUAACUUCCCGUCGCUCACGAUUGUACUCCAUAGAUGUUGGGGUUUCAAUCCGCUCUCUCAACCAAUUGCAUUUAUCACGAUCAGAAAUAUGCAUGUACUCAUACCCAAUGCUUCCACAAUAAGCCUGCUCAAGACGUGUUAAUAUUGCCUUCAAAGUUUGCACAGGACGAUUCUCAGACAAGAAUCCAGACAUCUUCCAAACACCAAGGAAGAACUCUCUAUCAAGAUCAGCUUCAGUGAACCCAUAUAAUGCUGGAUCCAAAUCAUCAGGUAUUUGCCUCGCUUCUAAAUCUAAUGGAUCAAGUUUUGCUUUCAUAUGACCAUUAACCUGAUAAGCUCUCACGAGCAACAGAAGACGCAUACUCUCUUGAAUCGUCUGGCCUGAUAUCCCAGGAGAUGUGGCAGCUUGUCCAACAAAAUUCCUGAAGAAAUUAUCCCACGACUCAUCAACGCUGUUUGGGUCUUGUUCCCAUGCUCGCUGGAGCUCCUCAAGGUAGACACUGCUCGUCCCAUCUAAAAAGCUGUCAGUCAACUUGGAAAGUGGCACUGGUCUUGGGACAGGAGCAGCUUGUGCCCUUGGCCUGACAACUGUGGUAUGAAAAUAUCGACCUUGUGAUGGAAGUAUGCGAGUUCUUGGGACGUAAGAACCACCCUGUGAUAGAGCCCUUCUAAUAGCAAGCUUUGCCACACUUGAGCUAGCUCUAAACCACGCCAUUACCGUGACUUGAAUUCUGAUAUCUAGAUGAACUCUUCGAAAGCUUUGAUAAUCUCUUCACGAAAUUCAAACCUCAACAACAAUCAUUAUACAUGGAUAACACCUUAAGAGUUCUGAAACCCUAGAACGAACAUGGCGAAUGAAAAUUUUUUGAAGGAGAAAUGAGAAGAUUCA
rnacentral:misc_RNA from 1 species